GUGCUGAGCUCGUGGUGGCUGAAGUUUUAACUCAGACAAAGCGGAUGGCCAUGGAAGGAUCGGCAUCUGGCUUCCAUUAGCUUGGUUGCUUCAGGGGCAAAAUCCAAGGGUUGAAAGAGGAAGCCACUCCCACAGAGAGGAGAAACAGCCAGGCUUAAUCCAAGCCAAUACAUGCCCUGGGGACUUGAAUUAUGCUGAUAUUCAACUACUAAUAUACAACUACCAAAUGGAAGAAUUUCAUUAAGCAUUGAUGGCACCUACCUGAAGCGGGCGCUGAGCUGAGUUUGCACAAGCCACACAAUAAACCUAGGAGGCACCAAAGACACUCUUCACCCAGGAUGGUCUUAAUCCUAAGGGUGGCCCUGGCAAUAGCACUGUUCAUGAAUUCGUCAUGUGUAUAAAAGCGAAUGUGUGAAGGAGGAAGCAGGAUCAGAACUGCUGACUCCCACAUGUUAACUUAAACCUCUAAACAGAGCUUAUACAUGUACAGCUUCUGCAUGCACAGACGCCACUCCUCACCCCUUAUAGCUUGUACACACAGAGUCUUUGUUCACAAGUUCAACUGAACACAUGAAGGUCAGGGGCAGGCCGAGUAGAAACAUCUGGUUCCCCCCUGUGCUUUUAUUUCUACAGACUAGGAUGCAUGUACAGUCCUGCUGUGUGUAUGAUUCAGGAGGAUAACAUAAAGGAAGAUCUGUUUGUUAAUAAAGUCUUCAUUAGUUCUAGUUAGUCACAGAAUGUCUAAAGGUGGUGUGGGAAAUAUUAUUAGUUUGUGCAGUUCAGCAGAGAUCCCAUCACAUCAAUCACUGUAAUUAGGAGAUUAAAAUACCCAUCUGCUGCACUGCUGUUUUAAUCAGUCAGUAGGUAAAUGAGAAAGUACUGUCCUCUAGGAUGAAUAUAGGCAAUGUGUUUUAUUAUAUUGUUAAAUCAACCCUAACUCAUGAUAACAGACCUAAAGAAAAUACCCCCCACCAAAAAGAAAAAAUAGCUCUUUAACAUUAUACUAGA